rnacentral:rRNA from 1 species
ACAGAGGUCCCAAGCGUUGUUCGGAUUUACUGGGCGUAAAGGGAGCGUAGGUGGCAGAUUAAGUCUGGCGUGAAAGCUCUGAGCUUGACUCAGAAAUGGCGCUAGAUACUAGUUUGCUUGAGGAUUGGAGGGGGGAUUGGAAUUCUCGGUGUAGCAGUGAAAUGCGUAGAUAUCGAGAGGAACACCAGUGGCGAAGGCGAAUCUCUGGACAAUUCCUGACACUGAUGCUCGAAAGCUAGGGGAGCAAACGGGA